rnacentral:misc_RNA from 1 species
ACGUAUCUGCGACGGGGUUCGGCGUGCCCUGCUCCGGUCCAUACGGGCCGUGCAGCGGGCUGCCGUCCCCGUUCACACCUCACAAACCCACUGUGAACCUUCACGGCGGAAGGGAGGAGACUCCCCGAGGCCGCAUACCAAACUCCAGUCGUAAAGAAUGUCGUGCGGACUUGCGCCGCCUAAAACACAAAA